rnacentral:tRNA from 1 species
CAUCUUUGAGAAACCAAUGUAAUACUUAAGUAUUAAUAGAGCCUAAUAUCUCCUCAAAGCUU